rnacentral:tRNA from 1 species
GGGGUUGUGGCUCAGUGGUAGAGCGCUCACCUAGCAUGUGUGAAGCACUGGGUUCAAUUCUCAGCACCA